rnacentral:rRNA from 1 species
GCCUACGGGGGGCUGCAGUCGAGAAUCUUCCGCAAUGCGCGAAAGCGUGACGGAGCAAUGCCGCGUGCGGGAUGAAGGCCUUCGGGUCGUAAACCGCUGUCACUGGGAACGAAAACAAUGACGGUACCCAGAGAGGAAGCCACGGCUAACUACGUGCCAGCAGCCGCGGUAAUACGUAGGUGGCGAGCGUUGUUCGGAUUUAUUGGGCGUAAAGGGUCCGUAGGGGGCCUGGCAAGUCUGACGUGAAAUCCCGGGGCUCAACCCCGGAAUGGCGUUGGAAACUGCGCGGGAUGGAGUGUCGUAGAGGAAAGCGGAAUUGCUGGUGUAGCGGUGGAAUGCGUAGAUAUCAGGAAGAACACCGAGAGCGAAGGCAGCUUUCUGGGCGAUAACUGACCCUGAAGGACGAAAGCGUGGGGAGCAAACAGGAUUAGAUACCCUGGUAGUC